rnacentral:lncRNA from 1 species
AACAGGCUCAGCUUAGAGGUACAAAUUGAAUUUAUUACUAACAAAAUCAGAUGAGGAGAAUAAGAAGUAAAUUAAGCCCUUAAAAACACCUUUUUCCCCCCUAACCCCUCCCUCCUUCCCACCAGCAGUGCAACAAGACAGGGCCUGGAGGGUUUGGUCAGUUCAUCACCCCAGGUUUUCUUCCACUGCUCAGGGAGAGGGGUCCUUCCCCUGCAAUGCUGUGGGGUCCCUCCCACAUGAGUCAGUUCUCCACGAACUUCUGCAGUGUGGUUCCAAUCUCUGUGGUUCCAAGCAGCAGCUCCCUGUGACCUGCUGCAACAUCAGCCCUCCCACAGACACACAGUGCUCCCCAAACUGCUGCAGCGUGGGUCACUCUUCCACGGGGUGCACUCCUCCAAGGACAGGCUGCUCCAGCCUGGAAGGAAGGGCCCCCUCUCUCCACCAGGUCUGCAAGGGGCUCACAGCCUGCACCAGUACCCACCUGCUCUGGCCUGGGCACCUCCCACACAGGCUGUGGGUGGAUCUGCAUCCCCACGGACCCCACGGGCUGCGGGUGGAUCUGCAUCCCCACAGACCCCACGGGCUGUGGGUGGAUCUGCAUCCCCACAGAUCCCCACAGGCUGUGGGUGGAUCUGCAUCCCCACGGACCCCACAGGCUGUGGAUGGAUCUGCAUCCCCAUGGACCCCCACAGGCUGUGGGUGGAUCUGCAUCCCCACGGACCCCACAGGCUGUGGGUGGAUCUGCAUCCCCAUGGACCCCACAGGCUGUGGGUGGAUCUGCAUCCCCACGGACCCCCACAGGCUGUGGGUGGAUCUGCAUCCCCACGGACCCCACAGGCUGUGGGUGGAUCUGCAUCCCCACAGACCCCCACAGGCUGUGGGUGGAUCUGCAUCCCCAUGGACCCCCAUGGGCUGUGGGUGGAUCUCUGCAUCCCCAUGGACCCCCACAGGCUGCAGGGGGAACAAUCUGCUUCACCACGGCCUGCAGAGGAAUCUCAGCUCCAGCACCUGGAGCGCCUCCUUCCCCCUCCUUCUGAACUGACCUUGGUGUUUCCCUCACAUGUUCUCACCUCCUCCUCUUCUCUGGCUAGAAAACUGUGCCCCACUUUGUUUUGAUUUUUUUUCCUAAAUAUUUGUUAUCACAGAGCCAUUAUCAUCAUCUCGCAUUGGCCCAGCCUUGGCCAGCAGCAUGUCCA